AUACGUAGGUGGCAAGCGUUGUCCGGAAUUAUUGGGCGUAAAGCGCAUGUAGGCGGUGCCUUAAGUCUGUCGUGAAACUGCGGGGCCUAACCCCGUAUGGCGAUGGAAACUGUGGCACUUGAGUGCAGGAGAGGAAAGGGGAACUCCCAGUGUAGCGGUGAAAUGCGUAGAUAUUGGGAAGAACACCGGUGGCGAAGGCGCCUUUCUGGACGGUGUCUGACGCUGAGAUGCGAAAGCCAGGGUAGCGAACGGGAUUAGAUACCCCGGUAGUCCUGGCCGUAAACGAUGGGUACUAGGUGUGGGAGGUAUCGACCCCUUCCGUGCCGGAGUUAACGCAAUAAGUACCCCGCCUGGGGAGUACGGCCGCAAGGCUUAAACUCAAAUGAAUUGACGGGG
rnacentral:rRNA from 1 species